ensembl:rRNA 5S_rRNA 5S ribosomal RNA
GCCUAUGGCCCCACCGCCUUCAACAUGCCGGGUCUAGUAUGAUCUGGAAAGCUAAACACGUUGGGGGCCUGGUUAGUACUUUGAUGGAAGGCUACCUGUGAACACCUGGGUGCUGGAGGCU